GAGGGAGCGUGGUAACUCGUGGAGAAGGCGGGAGAAAGUUCUAGUCCCAACUCCAGCCAGGGUGGCCACCUUCAAACGCUUCCCUCAGCCAUCGCCACCUCCAGACAAAGCCGCCCUGUGCGCCCCUGGGGGCCGCCCAUUGGAGCCCAAGGAGCCCGGGCCUGGCCAGAGUGAGGGCGCAGGGCGGGGCUGCAUUUCCUGGGGGAAAGGAGAGGCCAGGAGAAGUGUCCCAAACCAACUAUCUCCAAAGGAAUCGCCUUCCCACCUCACUCCCGGGAAGGGGUUUCAAGCCUUCUCAUGCCACAGCGUCUGGGCUGUUCAGGAUGGCGACUAUGAGUGUCUGUCUAACACUGCAAACAAAGCUUGACUGAGGGAUGGUAUUGUGAGGACAAGAUACCUGAAGCUGAAACAGGUGUUUUGUGACCACAAGGCAAAAAGCCCAAAG